CAACAGACCAUCAUCAAAAUAUGUAAAUGGAUUUACAUCUAAUACAGCCUCAGGAAGACCUCCAGUGCAGGCCUCAACAAGCUGGCUCCACACAGAGACAAUGGAAAGACCAAAAAAAAAACUUCUGCAGUAAUGGAGCCAAAAGACUGAACUUGCCAGCCAUACCACCAUUUGCACCAUCAGCACCUGCUGUGACAGUCCCUGAACCAAGACAAGAUGAUGCAGCCAAAAAACAAGGAGCAAAAGUGGUGGAAGCCGAGGAAAAAAUAAAAACCUGGCUGAAGUAUAGUGGAGACCGAAAUGGAGGAAGAAAAAAAAGAGCAACAGAAAAAGAAAAGCAGAAGCCUCAAGCAUAUUCCCA